UACCAGCACCCCGAGUGGUCGGGACGUUUAUUGGGCCUAAAGCAUCCGUAGCCGGUUCUGCAAGUCUUCCGUUAAAUCCACCUGCUUAACAGAUGGGCCGCGGAAGAUACUAUAGAGCUAGGAGGCGGGAGAGGCAAGCGGUACUCGAUGGGUAGGGGUAAAAUCCGUUGAUCCAUUGAAGACCACCAGUGGCGAAGGCGGCUUGCCAGAACGCGCUCGACGGUGAGGGAUGAAAGCUGGGGGAGCAAGCCGG
rnacentral:rRNA from 1 species